UGGCUAAACCAGACAUUUGGAUUUGGACAAAAGCUAAGAAGUUCAAUAAGAUAUUUGCAAAAAAGUCUUGCUCUGCCAAAUGCUGACUACCCACCCAGAAUUACAUCUUCCAGCCACAAACAGGUUAACCACUCCAGAUUCUGUCUAAGAUUAGUAUAAUUUGCUUUUGUUAACCACUCCAGAUUUUGUCUAAGAUUAAUAUAGAUUGCUUUUAUCAACAUCCCAUUCUUAAAGAAAAAAAAUCAUCAUUUUUUUUUAUUGUGUGUG